rnacentral:rRNA from 1 species
GAUGAACGCUAGCGGGAGGCCUAACACAUGCAAGCCGAGCGGUAGAGUUUCUUCGGAAACUUGAGAGCGGCGCACGGGUGCGUAACACGUGUGCAACCUACCUUUAUCUGGGGGAUAGUCUUUCGAAAGGAAGAUUAAUACCCCAUAAUAUAAUGAUUGGCAUCAAUUAUUAUUGAAAACUCCGGUGGAUAGAGAUGGGCACGCGCAAGAUUAGAUAGUUGGUGAGGUAACGGCUCACCAAGUCAAUGAUCUUUAGGGGUCCUGAGAGGGAGAUCCCCCACACUGGUACUGAGACACGGACCAGACUCCUACGGGAGGCAGCAGUGAGGAAUAUUGGACAAUGGGUGAGAGCCUGAUCCAGCCAUCCCGCGUGAAGGAUGACGGUCCUAUGGAUUGUAAACUUCUUUUGUACAGGGAUAAACCUACCCUCGUGAGGGUAGCUGAAGGUACUGUACGAAUAAGCACCGGCUAACUCCGUG